rnacentral:rRNA from 1 species
GAUGAACGCUGGCGGCGUGCCUAACACAUGCAAGUCGAACGGAGUCGUUUUGGAAAUCUCUUCUGAGAUGGAAUUCUCGACUUAGUGGCGGACGGGUGAGUAACGCCUGAGCAAUCUGCCUUUAUGAGGGGGAUAACAUUCGGAAACGGCUGCUAAUACCGCAUAAAGCAUUAAAUUCGCAUGUUUUUGAUGCCAAAGUAGCAAUCCGCUUUUAGAUGAGCUCGCGUCUGAUUAGCUAGUUGGCGGGGUAACGGCCCACCAAGGCGACGAUCAGUAGCCGGACUGAGAGGUUGAACGGCCAAAUGUGGACAGAGACACGGCACAGACUGAUACGGGAGGAAGCAGUGAGGAAUAUUGCGCAAAGGGCGAAAGCCUGAAGCAGGAACGCCGCGUGAUUGAAGAAGGUGUUCGGGUUGAAAAGAUGUUUAAUCAGAGACGAAACAAAUGACGGUACCUGAAGAAUAAGCUCCGGCUAACUACGUG